AACCCCAGAAAAUCAAUAAUAAAAUGGCCCUACUAGAUCACUCAUUACUUCCAGCGUCAAUAUUAUAAAUAUAGGAUGCACAUCUUUAAACGGAAUAGCUGAAAUCCAGAAUGCUCCCACACCUGAAGCUUUUUGAGCAUUGUCAUGAUACCACAGAUGCUCAAAUCCCUUUCUCAGACCUCUCAGAGGGGAGGCCUGCCUGGUGCCAUUCCCAGGACUGUGAUGAGGAGUGGUGUGGGUUCUCACAACAGCCUGGUGAGAGAAACUGAGAGAUGGCACCCCCGGAGUCUCCUUGACGCAGUCCCGCUUCAGCCAGCUCAGAACCAUGCUAAUGCACACCGCUGCUGCCUACACCUGAGCAGACUGCUCCUACCACCCCACGUACUCACUACUGCCCUGGAUGAAGGAGCCCUGGAUUCCGUGGCGGUUUGUACUCGCUGUGACCCCAGCCUGGAGUUCUGUCCUCGUGCAGAAACUUGGCUCCCUUCUUCCCAGCCUUCAGAUCUGUGCUUGAGGGUCAGUUCCCUGACAACCUAUUAAAAACGCCACC